GUUCUUCACUCAGUUCAUUCACAAACCAUUUGUUUGUCAGCAUGCAACAAAAACUUCACUUUCAUGUCAGAGUGUCAUAAAUCCUCUUUCUUUUGCUUUUUUCCCUCCCCUGACAAAAACAGAGAAAAAYCUCAGGUUUUUGGAUAGUCUGCUAGCAGUAUGUUUUUUACUUUUUGUGCCAUAAAGGUGGUUUUAUAUUCACAACAAAGGCGAGUGUCGCAGUCUCCAGAAGCCCUGAAGGAUCUGUGGCGUUUUAUUGUUUGUGUUUUUACACGACAUACCAGCGGGGUUCGCCGAGACUGGAAAGGCGGUAACCUCAGGGAGUCGGAAGUGGCAGCGACAAACACUCCAAACAGAAGAGAAAAGGCCUCAGCGGGGGGCAACAGAGACGCUUUUUUCAGCCAGCGUCUCAUAUCUAACAAACUCAGCUUUAAAGUCGCUUUAGAGGAUUUUCUGAGAUUCAUCGCAGGAGCUGAGUCAGCAUUUAACUCCUGAUGGUUCCAGUCGCCCAUGCAAGUCAAAGCAGAUCGACGGCUUUAAAGAAACAGUUGGAGCAGAACUUUCCCCACUGAUGUGCUUCUGCCCCAGUUUCCAAUGCAGAGAAAUAUUUCAGUGACUCAGAGCUCAAAGAGAAUCUUUAAGGCUUUAUCUUGUUCAGAUCUACGAAGGAAUCCGUCUCUUUUCUUUUGGCACGAAGACACAGAAACAUGAAAACUCAACAUGGGCAUUAGAAUGGGGCAUAAAUAAUGACGAUGACGCCUCCAGGUUCUGUGGCGUUUCUCCAGGACGAGCCGAGCGAAGGGCAGGAGGAGACGCUGCUCCUCAGCGACAGCCAUCCAUCUCCGGCGGAGGAUGAGUUGAGCUGGAGGACACUGCGGGCCCAUUUCCCUCAUUACCCAAAAUCCUCGGCUGCUCUCGGAGGAACCGCGUCCAUUUUAAUAACUGGUUGUCAGACAAGUUUCCCGAGGCUUUAAUGCAUCCGCUGUAACGAAUGACAGCUGUGACCUUCUGACUGCUGCGAGCGCCGAGAAAAAGUGAGCAGCAAUUAGAGCAAAUUUACCUUGUCCACUUUUAUAAUGACGACACGAUUUAUUCUUAUGUUGCUAAUAUUUUCUACUGAAUAAAGUUAUAAUGAGGCUGCAGAGCAA